UACAGAGGGUGCAAGCGUUAAUCGGAAUGACUGGGCGUAAAGGGUGCGUAGGUGGUUGUUUAAGUGAGAUGUGAAAUCCCUGGGCUUAACCUGGGAACUGCAUUUGAUACUGGACGACUAGAGUAUGGGAGAGGUAAGUGGAAUUUCCGGUGUAGCGGUGAAAUGCGUAGAUAUCGGAAGGAACACCAGUGGCGAAGGCGGCUUACUGGCCUAAUACUGACACUGAGGCACGAAAGCGUGGGGAGCAAACAGG
rnacentral:rRNA from 1 species